GGUUUAUCUUGGCAAUGAAACACAACUGCUCCUGGCACACCAAUUACAUCAGAAAGGAGGAUGGACAUCGAAGAAAGUCAUUAUGGAGUUUGCUUUCAACAUGGCAAGAUUAGCCAUUUGGGCAAGAAACUGCUCUUGCCUGGACUGUUUUUUGCUGUAUAAACUGGACAUACAGGACCCACAAGAAAGUGACUGCUGAACUUACAAAACAAGACAAUACUGAAGGGUUCCUGUUGAAAUGGAGAAGUGUGCCAGACACACUGUGGCCUAAAGGCUGAAGAUGGAUGCCCCAAAGUUACAGAGGAACUUUGACUGUCCAGAGAAAUCCAGUGCCAAAACUGUGUCACCAGAGCAAAUCCAG
rnacentral:lncRNA from 1 species